UACAGAGGUCCCAAGCGUUGUUCGGAUUUACUGGGCGUAAAGGGCGCGUAGGCGGUCAGCACAAGUCAGUUGUGAAAUCUCCGGGCUUAACUCGGAAAGGUCAACUGAUACUGUGCGACUAGAGUGCAGAAGGGGCAACUGGAAUUCUCGGUGUAGCGGUGAAAUGCGUAGAUAUCGAGAGGAACACCUGCGGCGAAGGCGGGUUGCUGGGCUGACACUGACGCUGAUGCGCGAAAGCCAGGGGAGCAAACGGG
rnacentral:rRNA from 1 species